GAAACCGAUGAUACACCCACCUCACAAGCAAUUCCCUGGCAGCAAGGAGGUUCCGAAUCUGCUGGAAGUUCAGCCGAACACCCACACCACCAGCAACUAUCCACCUUAAAGAUCUAACCCCAAAAUUCAGCAAAAAAUUCAUCAAUUCACAUAAUUCCAGCAUUUAAACAUAAAUUGUCUCAACCACAAUGUCAAAACUCACCUAAAGAUCUCCAAUUU
rnacentral:lncRNA from 1 species